GCGGAAGUAGCUCAGUUGGUAGAGCGCAACCUUGCCAAGGUUGAGGUCGCGAGUUCGAGUCUCGUUUUCCGCUCCA
rnacentral:tRNA from 1 species